UCAAGCAAUAAGGGCACAGGGCGGAUGCCUUGGCACUAAGAGCCGAUGAAAGACGUGAUAAGCUGCGAAAAGCUUCGGGGAGGAGCAAAUAUCCUUUGAUCCGGAGAUCUCUGAAUGGGGAAACCCGGCAGAGCACACCUCUGUCAUCCAUACGCCAAUCCAUAACGUAUGGAAGGGAACCCGGGGAACUGAAACAUCUAAGUACCCGGAGGAAAAGAAAGAAAACUCGAUUCCGUAAGUAGCGGCGAGCGAACGCGGAGGAGCCUAAACCGGAAUGCGUGCAUUCCGGGGUUACGGACUGCAUUUAAGAUUCUUUGAAGCUAACAGAACGGUUUUGGGAAAGCCGGCCGGAGAGGGUGAAAGCCCCGUACGUGAAAGCAGAGCUGACUGAGCAGGAUCCAGAGUACCACGAGACACGUGGAACCUUGUGGGAAAUCAGGGGGACCACCCCCUAAGGCUAAAUACUACUUAGUGACCGAUAGCGCAUAGUACUGUGAAGGAAAGGUGAAAAGGACCCCGGGAGGGGAGUGAAAGAGAACCUGAAACCCUGUGUUUACAAGCUGUGGAAGAGCUUUAUAUGCUCAACCGCGUACUUUUUGUAGAACGGUCCGGCGAGUUACGCUUACUGGCAAGGUUAAGCACUUCAGGUGUGGAGCCGUAGGGAAACCAAGUCUUAAGAGGGCCUUAAGUCAGUAGGAGUAGACCCGAAACCGGGUGAUCUAUCCAUGUCCAGGUUGAAGCUGCCGUAAGAGGUAGUGGAGGACCGAACCCACAUCCGUUGAAAAGGGUGGGGAUGAGGUGUGGAUAGGGGAGAAAUUCCAAUCGAACCCGGAGAUAGCUGGUUCUCCUCGAAAUAGCUUUAGGGCUAGCCUCGAUACAGAUUUGCGGAGGUAGAGCACUGAAUUUCCUAGGGGGCGUCAAAGCCUACCGAAGAAUAUCAAACUCCGAAUGCCGCGUAAUCGAUUAUCGGGAGUCAGACUGCACGAGAUAAGUUGGGCGGUCAAAAGGGAAAGAGCCCAGACCUUCAGUUAAGGUCCCCAAGUGCGCGUUAAGUGGAAAAGGAUGUGGGAUUUCGAAGACAACCAGGAUGUUGGCUCAGAAGCAGCCAUCCAUUCAAAGAGUGCGUAAUAGCUCACUGGUCGAGAGGUCCUGCGCCGAAAAUGUCCGGGGCUGAAACGCGCCACCGAAACUAAGGAACCGAAAGGUUGGUAGAGGAGCAUUGCAUGCGGAACGAAGCAGUACCGUAAGGAGCUGUGGACUGCAUGGAAGAGAGAAUGCCGGAAUGAGUAGCGAGAAUAAGGUGAGAAUCCUUAUGGCCGAAUAUCCAAGGUUUCCAGAGUAAAGCUGAUCUGCUCUGGGUAAGUCGGGGCCUAAGGCGAGGACGAGAGUCGUAGCCGAUGGACAACAGGUGGAGAUUCCUGUACUGCGGUAUGACAGAACUGUGGGGACACGUAAGGAAAGCGGAAGCCGGGAAUGGAAAGCCCGGUGCAAGCGGGGUACCAGUCACUUUGGCAAAUCCGGGUGGCAAUGGGAAGCCGUGAUGCGGAGCGAAAUAAAGUAGCGAAGUCCGUGAGCCAUGCGUCAAGAAAAGCCGCUAUUGUUUAUACCGUACCCGUACCGUAAACCGACACAGGUGGAUGAGGAGAGAAUCCUAAGGCCGGCGGAAGAAGCAUUGUCAAGGAACUCGGCAAAAUGGCCCCGUAACUUAGGGAUAAGGGGUGCCUGGGAAACCAGGCCGCAGAGAAUAGGCUCAAGCAACUGUUUAGCAAAAACACAGGUCUAUGCGAAACCGAAAGGUGAGGUAUAUGGGCUGACGCCUGCCCGGUGCUGGAAGGUUAAGAGGAGAGGUUAGCGCAAGCGAAGCUUUGAAUUUAAGCCCCAGUAAACGGCGGCCGUAACUAUAACGGUCCUAAGGUAGCGAAAUUCCUUGUCGGGU
rnacentral:rRNA from 1 species